GCUAUCCAAGAAUGUGCCCCACAGCUAGCAAAAAGCCAUUCAGCAGGAAGACUCUGAGUUCUCAAUGAACAGCCUCAAGCACAGAGUGGAGCUGGAUUUGAUCCUGGCUGCCUUCCACUGAAGCUGAAGACUGAAGAUUUGGAUCAGAAUAUAAGGCCCAAUGAGUAAAGGUCCUCUAAGUGCUAAAUUUUCCUCCUUUGAAGAUGAAACCUUAAU
rnacentral:lncRNA from 13 species